CUUUCCUUCUGACAUCAGAGUCCAUGCGUGAUCCUGGAACCUGCUCCUUCAUGGCUGGCCCCUUCAACGAGGGGCAACUCUGCUCUUCUGUUGCUCAGACCCAAACCCCCAGGAUUCCCUGUCCUCUUCUUUUCUCGUACCCUCUCCACCUGUGAGCAAGUGCUGUGAGCUCCGCAUUCAAAGUGCUGGUGCCUCUUCCCUCCUGCGCCGUCCCUGCAGCUGGGCGAGCGGCCCCUCUCACCUGGGCAGCCGAAGGUGAGGUCCUGCCCCCAAACCCCUCCAGGCCUCUGAUCACGAACGACAAGGCUUGUGCCUGGCUGGGCCACCUGCCCCACUGCCCUCCUGGCCUCUUGUGCCCACGCCCUCUGAUGGGCACAGCCCCUGCACUGGGCCUCUCCCUGUGGCAAGGCCUCCCUGUGCCCCCAGCCCCAUCCAUACUGGCUCUGCUCAGCUGCCACCCCGGCCCACCACUCUCACACCCAGCCCCUCCCCCAGCUCCAGGGGUAACUUUCUUGAGAGAAGAGGCAGGGUUAGUGCCCUGCGGGGUCACUGAGGCCCCAGCCGGCCCGGCACGUGGCACGUGCCUGACAAGUGUGUUCUGGGUGGGUGCAGCCCUCCCUGCAGGGGUGUCGUCUGUAGCACAUGGUUAGUUUCUAACCGUGAACUGGUGCCAGGACUCAAGGACAUCUUUCUUGGACACAUGUCCUGCCCCGCUGGGGGCCCACACACUUCCCAGUGUUGACACGGCUGCACUGACCAUGGGCUACUGGCCCACCUCGCCUCUACCCCUUGCCCACCUGCCCUGAGGGCCACCCACUCCGCUCCAACAACACAGCACUGGCUAAUAUUUGUCUUGUGACCUGUGCUCAGGCAUCAUAAAACUCAGCUCCUGUGACCACAGCAGGCCCGAGCAGCGUCCUGGGAAGCAUCUUGGGAGACCAAGGCCUGGGAUUACAGAGUGGAUCACUUGAGCCCAGGAAUUUGAGGCCAGCCUGGGGCAACACAGCGAGACCCCAUCUCUACAAAAAAUACAAAAAUUAGCCCAGCAUGGUGGCACGCGCCUGUGGUCCCAGCUACUCAGGAGGCUGAGGUGGGAGGAUCGCUUGAGCCCGGGAGGCAGAGGUUGCAGUGAGCCGAGAUUGUGCCACUGUAUUCCAAUCUGGGUGACAGAGACUCUGUUUCAAAAUAAAAUAAAACAAAUAAAAUAAAAUAGUAUCUGAACAGUCCUUAUUUCCUCCCGAGGCCAUGACAGGGAGGGAGUAAGCCCCCAUCCAAGCCCCGCUGAGCCCGUCCCUGUGUGCGGCUCCUGCCCAGCC
rnacentral:lncRNA from 1 species